UACGGAGGGGGCAAGCGUUGUUCGGAAUCAUUGGGCGUAAAGGGCGCGUAGGCGGCCGAUCAAGUCGGGUGUGAAAUCCCUCGGCUCAACCGAGGAACUGCACUCGAUACUGAUCGGCUCGAGUCCGGGAGGGGAUGGUGGAAUUCCCAGUGUAGCGGUGAAAUGCGUAGAUAUUGGGAGGAACACCGGUGGCGAAGGCGGUUCUCUGGGCCUGACCUGACGCUGAGGAGCGAAAGCGUGGGGAGCGAACAGG
rnacentral:rRNA from 1 species